rnacentral:lncRNA from 1 species
GUUGGCUGCAACAAUGUUCCUCAGUGGCAGUUUUCUCACUGACUAAUGUACUACCCAGCGAAGGAUCAAGUCAGCAUUGGUGGUGGGAAACACGUUACUAAGCUUCUGCUAGGCCAAGUCAGUGAUCUACAGAGGGAUGAGGAGGUAGAGAAAUGCAGGACCUGA